rnacentral:rRNA from 1 species
UACGGAGGAUCCAAGCGUUAUCCGGAAUGAUUGGGCGUAAAGCGUCCGCAGGUGGCAAUGUAAGUCUGCUGUUAAAGAGUCUAGCUCAACUAGAUAAAAGCAGUGGAAACUACAUAGCUAGAGUACGUUCGGGGCAGAGGGAAUUCCUGGUGUAGCGGUGAAAUGCGUAGAGAUCAGGAAGAACACCAGUGGCGAAGGCGCUCUGCUAGGCCGUAACUGACACUGAGGGACGAAAGCUAGGGGAGCGAAUGGG